UACGUAGGGUGCGAGCGUUGUCCGGAAUUAUUGGGCGUAAAGAGCUCGUAGGCGGUUUUGUCGCGUCUGCCGUGAAAAGUCCGGGGGCUCAACUCCGGAUCUGCGGUGGGUACGGGCAGACUAGAGUGAUGUAGGGGGAGACUGGAAUUCCUGGUGUAGCGGUGGGAAUGCGCAGAUAUCAGGGAGGGAAACACCCGGGUGGCGAAGGCGGAUCUCUGGGGCCGAUACUGACGCUGAGGAGCGAAAAGCGUGGGGGAGCGAACAGG
rnacentral:rRNA from 1 species